GGGGCCUGAUACUGUGUGACAUUCUCACCUGACCAGAUGGCACCCUGUCCUGCAUCCAGAGCUAGGGGCCCUCACUAGAUGCUGGCCCCACCACAAUCUUGGACUUCCCAAUCUCCAGAACUGUGAGAAAUCCACUGUGAGACAAGUGCUAUUAAUCAUCCUCUGAAUUUCAAGGAUCAUCUCACAAGUUCAAAGUUGUACAUUUGGUAACAAUCAGGGCAAAACUCAGACCCGUAUCACCUACCUUCAGGUCUUAUGCUUAGCUAAUUACACCACCCGCCCUUCACACUAAAUUGCAAAAUAAAAAACAAAUCCCUGUAUACACCCCAUAUUAAGGGUGCUGUGUAUUUGGUCUGCUCAAUCCAAG